GGAUGGAGCCCUCCUUACCCUUAUCAUUGCAGUCGAGCGGUAGCACAGAGAGCUUGCUCUCGGGUGACGAGCGGCGGACGGGUGAGUAAUGUCUGGGAAACUGCCUGAUGGAGGGGGAUAACUACUGGAAACGGUAGCUAAUACCGCAUAACGUCGCAAGACCAAAGUGGGGGACCUUCGGGCCUCAUGCCAUCAGAUGUGCCCAGAUGGGAUUAGCUAGUAGGUGGGGUAACGGCUCACCUAGGCGACGAUCCCUAGCUGGUCUGAGAGGAUGACCAGCCACACUGGAACUGAGACACGGUCCAGACUCCUACGGGAGGCAGCAGUGGGGAAUAUUGCACAAUGGGCGCAAGCCUGAUGCAGCCAUGCCGCGUGUGUGAAGAAGGCCUUCGGGUUGUAAAGCACUUUCAGCGGGGAGGAAGGCGNURAGGUUAAUAACCUUGUCGAUUGACGUUACCCGCAGAAGAAGCACCGGCUAACUCCGUGCCAGCAGCCGCGGUAAUACGGAGGGUGCAAGCGUUAAUCGGAAUUACUGGGCGUAAAGCGCACGCAGGCGGUCUGUCAAGUCGGAUGUGAAAUCCCCGGGCUYAACCUGGGAACUGCAUUCGAAACUGGCAGGCUAGAGUCUUGUAGAGGGGGGUAGAAUUCCAGGUGUAGCGGUGAAAUGCGUAGAGAUCUGGAGGAAUACCGGUGGCGAAGGCGGCCCCCUGGACAAAGACUGACGCUCAGGUGCGAAAGCGUGGGGAGCAAACAGGAUUAGAUACCCUGGUAGUCCACGCCGUAAACGAUGUCGAUUUGGAGGUUGUGCCCUUGAGGCGUGGCUUCCGGAGCUAACGCGUUAAAUCGACCGCCUGGGGAGUACGGCCGCAAGGUUAAAACUCAAAUGAAUUGACGGGGGCCCGCACAAGCGGUGGAGCAUGUGGUUUAAUUCGAUGCAACGCGAAGAACCUUACCUGGUCUUGACAUCCACAGAACUUUCCAGAGAUGGAUUGGUGCCUUCGGGAACUGUGAGACAGGUGCUGCAUGGCUGUCGUCAGCUCGUGUUGUGAAAUGUUGGGUUAAGUCCCGCAACGAGCGCAACCCUUAUCCUUUGUUGCCAGCGGUYCGGCCGGGAACUCAAAGGAGACUGCCAGUGAUAAACUGGAGGAAGGUGGGGAUGACGUCAAGUCAUCAUGGCCCUUACGACCAGGGCUACACACGUGCUACAAUGGCAUAUACAAAGAGAAGCGACCUCGCGAGAGCAAGCGGACCUCAUAAAGUAUGUCGUAGUCCGGAUUGGAGUCUGCAACUCGACUCCAUGAAGUCGGAAUCGCUAGUAAUCGUAGAUCAGAAUGCUACGGUGAAUACGUUCCCGGGCCUUGUACACACCGCCCGUCACACCAUGGGAGUGGGUUGCAAAAGAAGUAGGUAGCUUAACCUUCGGGAGGGCGCAUACCACUUGUGACUCAUGAGCUGGCUG
rnacentral:rRNA from 1 species